rnacentral:rRNA from 1 species
GAGCGGCAGACGGGUGAGUAACGCGUGGGAACAUGCCCUUCGGUUCGGAAUAACCCAGGGAAACUUGGGCUAAUACCGAAUACGUCAGGAGAAAGAUUUAUCGCCGAAGGAUUGGCCCGCGUCGGAUUAGCUAGUUGGUGAGGUAACGGCUCACCAAGGCGAUGAUCCGUAGCUGGUCUGAGAGGACGAUCAGCCACACUGGGACUGAGACACGGCCCAGACUCCUACGGGAGGCAGCAGUGGGGAAUAUUGGACAAUGGGCGCAAGCCUGAUCCAGCCAUGCCGCGUGAGUGAUGAAGGCCUUAGGGUUGUAAAGCUCUUUCGGCGGGGACGAUAAUGACGGUACCCGCAGAAGAAGCCCCGGCUAACUUCGUGCCAGCAGCCGCGGUAAUACGAAGGGGGCUAGCGUUGCUCGGAAUCACUGGGCGUAAAGCGCACGUAGGCGGGUCGCUGAGUCGGGGGUGAAAUCCUGGAGCUUAACUCCAGAACUGCCUUCGAUACUGGCGAUCUUCGAGUCCGGGAGAGGUGGGUGGAACUGCGAGUGUAGAGGUGAAAUUCGUAGAUAUUCGCAAGAACACCAGUGGCGAAGGCGGCUCACUGGCCCGGUAC